GUGAAAUCCCCGGGCUUAACCUGGGAACUGCAUUCGAAACUGGCAGACUGGAGUCUUGUAGAGGGGGGUAGAAUUCCAGGUGUAGCGGUGAAAUGCGUAGAGAUCUGGAGGAAUACCGGUGGCGAAGGCGGCCCCCUGGACAAAGACUGACGCUCAGGUGCGAAAGCGUGGGGAGCAAACAGGAUUAGAUACCCUGGUAGUCCACGCCGUAAACGAUGUCGACUUGGAGGUUGUUCCCUUGAGGAGUGGCUUCCGGAGCUAACGCGUUAAGUCGACCGCCUGGGGAGUACGGCCGCAAGGUUAAAACUCAAAUGAAUUGACGGGGGCCCGCACAAGCGGUGGAGCAUGUGGUUUAAUUCGAUGCAACGCGAAGAACCUUACCUACUCUUGACAUCCAGAGAACUUAGCAGAGAUGCUUUGGUGCCUUCGGGAACUCUGAGACAGGUGC
rnacentral:rRNA from 1 species